UUCAUUUCCAUUUGCAUUUUCAUUUUCAUUUUCAGCUAAGACACCAAAACCACGAAAAAACACACACACACACACACACACACACAUACAAACACAAACACAAAUCUCAUAAUUUACCUCAAAAAUUAGCUCAAAAUUCAAGCUCAACAUCUUCCGAAUCAGGAAUCUAGGAUUGGAAGCUAUUUGUGAUUCUUUCCGAAGAUUAUCGGAUGAUAAUGGUAUAUCCUCAUACGUGACACUGAUUGAUGGAUCCAGAAAGUAAGAAGUUUGGAAAAGGACCAAGGGAACUCACAGGCGCUGUGGAUCUUAUAAGUUACUAUAAAUUGUUACCCCACUACGAGUUCUUCUGCAAGAAGUCACUUCCUUUGUCAAUUUCAGAUACACAUUACCUUCACCAUGCUGUUGGAGACACAGAAAUCAGAAAAGGCGAAGGGAUGCAGUUAGAUCAGCUCAUUCACAACACAUCACAUUCUAGAGAUACAAACACACGCAUACAACCAUUUGACCUUAGUGUUCUUACGGAAGCCUUUCAGCUGAGGGAGACUGCACCUGUUGACCUGCCAGCUUCUGAGAAGGGGAUGCCUACUAUAGCUGGAAAAUCUAGAAGUGAAUCAAAAGACAAGGAAAAGAAACAUAAAAAGCACAAAGAUAAAGAUAAAGAGAAGGAUAAAGACAAAGAGCACAAGAAACACAAACAUCGACAUAAAGAUCGAAGUAAAGAUAAGGACAAGGAGAAAAAGAAGGAUAAAAGUAGUCACCAUGAGAAGAAAAGAAAGCAUGAUGGAAACGAAGAUAGCAAUGACAUUCACAAGCAGAAGAAAAGUAAGCACAAGAGCUCAAAGAUCGACGAGAUAGGGGCAAUAAAGAUAGCAGCUUGAAAGUGGAUUGUGGUAGAUAGUAUUUUUUUUUCUCCUCAUAUUGCAAACAAAACCAGAGAAGAGCCCCAGGACUAACUAAAGGAAUCCAAAAAGGUGAAUUCACCUGUGCAGUAGAUUUUUUCAUGGUACAAUUUUAUGGAAACCAGACUGCUUUGUAAUUUGUAUCAUAGUUGGGCUUUCAUACAUUCAAAACGUAAAUCCGUUCUUUAGUUUAGUGGCAUGCUGGAUAUCUAUAUAAUUCCUGAUCAUUUUUAACGACCCGUACGUGUAGUUUCAGUUCCAGUUUUGGAGAAAAGAACUUUGUAAGAUGUUGUAUCAUUAAUGGGUAGGUAUGUUUUUUAGUCCUUGUAAAUACUAUUGAGAUAAGAUGUAAAUGGUGCUGUCACUAGUAAUCCAAGAAGAUAUCUUUUUUUGGUUCUUUUCUAA